UACGUAGGGGGCAAGCGUUGUCCGGAAUCAUUGGGCGUAAAGAGCGCGUAGGCGGUCCGGUAAGUCCGCUCUGAAAGUCCGGGGCUCAACCCCGGGAGGCGGGCGGAUACUGUCGGGCUAGAGUCCGGAAGAGGCGAGUGGAAUUCCUGGUGUAGCGGUGAAAUGCGUAGAGAUCCGGAAGAACACCAGUGGCGAAGGCGGCCCGCUGGGCAGUGGCUGACGCUGAGACGCGAAAGCGUGGGGAGCAAACAGG
rnacentral:rRNA from 1 species